GUCUGUCUGCGCCGCUCCCAAAGGAUGGCCAGUCAGGGAGGGGGAGCAGCCGCAGCCUCUCGGCUCGGAGGAGCGAACCCCGGACCUCUCGUCGCCUGCCCAGUACCACGGCCGAAAGGGUUACAGGCAGAAUCGUUUCCCGGGGACUGAGUGGGGACUGUGCACAUGGCUCUGGUACCCGCAGGAAUAAUAACGCUGCCUUGUUGGACCUUGCCGGAGCCGCAGAAAAAGGAGAUUUGUUGUUGUUCUGGGAGCACUGCUCCUGGCCUUGGCUUUGGCCGGAGGAGAGGGACCAGGGGGACGCCGGUGGCACCCGGAGGGGCACAGACAAUGGGCCUCUGUCUCCAGUCAGCCGGGAGGCAGCAGCAGACCGAAACCUCACGGCGGGCUUUUCGAAAACAUGCCCCGUUCUGUUUGGCUUCUCCUAUGCGCGCCCCUCUACGCGGCUCCAGCCCCGGCGGACGGCGCGGAGCUGACGGAGGUGGUUCGUCGGGGUUGAUGGAAGCAGCCCACCACCUUUGACGACCGUCCCGCAGAAACCGCCGCGGAUUCGCGCAGCAGCGAGGGGAGCCGCAAAGACACGCUGGGAGAGGGGGUGGCACCGCGACGGGUGUCCUCGUCGGAGGGCACACCGCUGCCACUCCUGGUCCAGGCUGCGGGAGCCCGUCUCGGCCCUCCUGCGCUUCAAAGAAUGUCCCCUUCAGGCCAGUGUCCCCAGCACUGGCAUCCCUCCUGUUGGCAGUGGCCAGUCCUGCCCCAAACCAGGCCGGAUAGAGGGUUGUGGGUUUUUCCUCCCCACGAUUUGUUCUCUUGUGUGUUUUUCUUUUAAUUCAAGUAAAUUAGAUUGACUUUUUUA